rnacentral:rRNA from 1 species
CACGUAGGGGCCAAGCGUUGUCCGGAUUUAUUGGGCGUAAAGAGCUCGUAGGCGGUUCAGUCAGUUGGGUGUGAAAACUCCGGGCUUAACUCGGAGAGGCCACCCAAUACUGCUGUGACUUGAGUCGGGUAGGGGAGUGGGGAAUUCCUGGUGUAGCGGUGAAAUGCGCAGAUAUCAGGAGGAACGCCGGUGGCGAAGGCGGCAUCCUGGACCGACACUGACGCUGAGGAGCGAAAGCCAGGGGAGCAAACGGG